CCCUUAGAUGUUCUGGGCCGCACGCGCGCUACACUGAUACGUUCAGCGAGUAUAUAACCUUGAUUGGAAAAUCUGGGUAAUCUUUUGAAUGCGUAUCGUGCUAGGGAUAGAUUAUUGCAAUUAUUAAUCUUGAACGAGGAAUUCCUAGUAAACGCAAGUCAUCAGCUUGCAUUGAUUACGUCCCUGCCCUUUGUACACACCGCCCGUCGCACCUACCGAUUGAAUGGUCCGGUGAAAUCUUCGGAUUGAGACUUUGAUUUCUUCACGGAAAACGCUGUUUUAAAAAGUUGAUUAAACCUUACCAUUUAGAGGAAGGUGAGGUCGUAACA
rnacentral:rRNA from 1 species